rnacentral:rRNA from 1 species
GAAUUCGCCCUUAGAGUUUGAUCCUGGCUCAGGACGAACGCUGGCGGCGCGCCUAACACAUGCAAGUCGAACGGAGUUAUUUUGGCAGAAGCCUUCGGGCGGACGCUGAUAUAACUUAGUGGCGAACGGGUGAGUAACACGUGAGCAACCUGCCCUUCAGAGGGGGACAACAGUUGGAAACGACUGCUAAUACCGCAUAAGACCACGGUGUGGCAUCACACAGAGGUCAAAGGAGAAAUCCGCUGAAGGAUGGGCUCGCGUCCAAUUAGCUAGAUGGUGAGGUAACGGCCCACCAUGGCGACGAUUGGUAGCCGGACUGAGAGGUUGAUCGGCCACAUUGGGACUGAGACACGGCCCAGACUCCUACGGGAGGCAGCAGUGGGGAAUAUUGCACAAUGGAGGAAACUCUGAUGCAGCGACGCCGCGUGAGGGAAGAAGGUCUUCGGAUUGUAAACCUCUGUUGUCAGGGACGAUAAUGACGGUACCUGACGAGGAAGCCACGGCUAACUACGUGCCAGCAGCCGCGGUAAAACGUAGGUGGCAAGCGUUGUCCGGAAUUACUGGGUGUAAAGGGAGCGCAGGCGGGAGAGCAAGUUGGAAGUGAAAUCUGUGGGCUCAACUCACAAAUUGCUUUCAAAACUGUUUUUCUUGAGUGGUGUAGAGGUAGGCGGAAUUCCCGGUGUAGCGGUGGAAUGCGUAGAUAUCGGGAGGAACACCAGUGGCGAAGGCGGCCUACUGGGCACUAACUGACGCUGAGGCUCGAAAGCAUGGGUAGCAAACAGAAAGAGAUACCCUGGUAGUCCAUGCCGUAAACGA